UUUCAUUCCUUUCCUUUCACCUCACAGAUGUUUGCUGCGAUCUGCCGGGAUAAUAUUAUCAGAAGAAGUAUAUGUCGCCAGCCUCACCUUCUACAGGAUACUAUCUGUGACCUUGAAUGUGUGGAUUUAAAACGUGUGUUCUGGCCUGUUGAGUGAUGUGGGAAUCAGCUGUUGUUAUCUACAACAGCGUGUGAGUACUCUCCCUCCGAGUUUGAAGUUGAAAAUUUGCAAAUGGGGGCGGGGCAAGUGACUGCAAGUAAUGAGUGCGUCACGAUGGCAAUGAACCUCCAGUCAAAGUAAGCCUGAUGACCAACAUCUUCAUGACACUGUAGAUUACAUUCCUCCUCCUCCUCCUCAUCUCGCUGACUCCCCCUCACUCGCGCAUCAGCUGACAGUAAAAAGUGCUUUGAUCAAGUGACGUUUACGUCACUGCUAUAACCUUUUAAUGUUUUUGUUUUUCUCCAGAACCUACAUAGAGGGGUGACACAUGGGCAGAGGAAAAAAAAAAUAUUUUUUUAAACUCAACUAAAUACAGAGAUUUGCUUCGAAAUACAAAGUACAUUUCAUGUGAAGAUAGUUGCUGAAAAAAAUGUGCAAAUAUUAUGGAAUAAGUAAUCAAUUGAGAUUUUCACAUUAAACUGUGAUCACCAUUUCAGUGUUCCUGAUUUUUUUUUCCCGUGACUAAAACGCCUAGUGAUGCACUUGUGUGUCGCCCCUUGCCCACUAGAAGAACUGAGAGCCUUUGUUUGCAUCAGUGAUUAUUCAGCGCAAUUUGGACGUAGCUAGUGAGGCCUCCAGCUCGAAAAUGCAGAUUGACAACUGCCGUGGCCACUUUAGAGCGCCCCGUCUUCAUCUGUGUGUGUGCACCUGUUACAAAAAGGCAAACUAGAAAUCAGAGGAGGAAAAAAAAAUCUGUCGUGACAGCUCUGAGAACUGUGAAAAUAGGGCAUUCAUGCUGGCAUGGCUGCGUUAGAGUGCCUCGUUGUUGCAGCAUGGAAAAGCCUGACAGCGACUCAGUGGGAAAUAUUCCAGUUCCGCAGCGUUUUAGAGGGGAAAGAAUA